UAAGCUGCUACCCUUUGGAUGUGUAUGUCCUUGUGUGUGUGUGUGUGCGUGUGUGUGUUCAUAUGUGUCCUUUGAUAAUACAUACAAUUGCUCCAAC
rnacentral:miRNA from 1 species